GCCGCGUUAGCUCAGUUGGCAGAGCGCCAAUCUUGUAAAUUGGAUGCCAGGAGUUCGAUUCUCCUACGCGGCU
rnacentral:tRNA from 2 species